GGGAUGAACGCUGGCGGCGUGCUUAACACAUGCAAGUCGAACGAUCCUUCGGGAUAGUGGCGGACGGGUGAGUAACGCGUGGGAAUCUGCCCUCAGGAGGGGGAUAACGGCUGGAAACGGCCGCUAAUACCCCAUAUGCCGAGAGGUGAAAUGAAUUUCGCCUGAGGAUGAGCCCGCGUCUGAUUAGCUAGUUGGUGGGGUAAAGGCCUACCAAGGCGACGAUCAGUAGCUGGUCUGAGAGGAUGAUCAGCCACACUGGGACUGAGACACGGCCCAGACUCCUACGGGAGGCAGCAGUGGGGAAUUUUCCGCAAUGGGCGAAAGCCUGACGGAGCAACGCCGCGUGAGGGAUGAAGGCCUCUGGGCUGUAAACCUCUUUUCUCAAGGAAGAAGAACUGACGGUACUUGAGGAAUAAGCCACGGCUAAUUCCGUGCCAGCAGCCGCGGUAAUACGGGAGUGGCAAGCGUUAUCCGGAAUUAUUGGGCGUAAAGCGUCCGCAGGCGGCCUUGUAAGUCUGUUGUUAAAGCGUGGAGCUCAACUCCAUUUAAGCAAUGGAAACUACAAGGCUGGAGUGUGGUAGGGGCAGAGGGAAUUCCCGGUGUAGCGGUGAAAUGCGUAGAUAUCGGGAAGAACACCAGUGGCGAAGGCGCUCUGCUGGGCCAUAACUGACGCUCAUGGACGAAAGCCAGGGGAGCGAAAGGGAUUAGAUACCCCUGUAGUCCUGGCCGUAAACGAUGAACACUAGGUGUCGGGGGAAUCGACCCCCUCGGUGUCGUAGCCAACGCGUUAAGUGUUCCGCCUGGGGAGUACGCACGCAAGUGUGAAACUCAAAGGAAUUGACGGGGGCCCGCACAAGCGGUGGAGUAUGUGGUUUAAUUCGAUGCAACGCGAAGAACCUUACCAGGGUUUGACAUCCUGCGAAUCCCUUGGAAACGAGGGAGUGCCUUCGGGAGCGCAGUGACAGGUGGUGCAUGGCUGUCGUCAGCUCGUGUCGUGAGAUGUUGGGUUAAGUCCCGCAACGAGCGCAACCCACGUCUUUAGUUGCCAGCAUUCAGUUGGGCACUCUAGAGAGACCGCCGGUGAUAAACCGGAGGAAGGUGUGGAUGACGUCAAGUCAUCAUGCCCCUUACAUCCUGGGCUACACACGUACUACAAUGCUACGGACAAAGGGCAGCAAGCUCGCGAGAGUUAGCAAAUCCCAUAAACCGUGGCUCAGUUCAGAUCGUAGGCUGCAACUCGCCUACGUGAAGGAGGAAUCGCUAGUAAUCGCAGGUCAGCAUACUGCGGUGAAUACGUUCCCGGGCCUUGUACACACCGCCCGUCACACCAUGGAAGUUGGCCAUGCCCGAAGUCGUUACUCCAACCCUUGUGGAGGAGGACGCCGAAGGUGGGGCUGAUGACUGGGGUGAAGUCGUAACAAGGUA
rnacentral:rRNA from 1 species